rnacentral:rRNA from 1 species
AGUGCGUAAUAGCUCACUGGUCGAGUGAUCCUGCGCCGAAGAUUUCCGGGGCUAAAACUUACUACCGAAGCUACGGCAUCAGUAAUGAUGGGUAGGGGAGCUUCCCAUACGGGUUGAAGCAUGACCGGAAGGACAUGUGGACAGUAUGGGAGUGAGAAUGUUGGCAUGAGUAGCGAGAUGUGGGUGAGAAUCCCACAGGCCGUAAACCCAAGGUUUCCAGGGGAAGGUUCGU